AUAAGCCCCUCUGUUAACUUUUGUUCAAGCCUGUCUAGAUCUUUUAUCAGUCUAGAAAGAUGUUGGAGAAAAGACAUCAUCCUCUUCUAUAAUCUCCAUCUGUAAUUGGACUAACAACUGGACCAGUGAAUGCAGGCAACUUACUCUCCAUUCGACCUUGCAGGUCACACCAUGGUCUCAAGAGGGAAAAUGAGUGCUCUAUGGAUUGAACAGAAAAGGUGAAUCAAAACUCCAACCAUCUGUAUGAGGGUCUGGAUGGAUAAAGGAUGCCCACUGGAGCUGGAAAUGAUGGAUCAGGUCAUUUUCAUUUGUCACAUUUACAAAGAAGCACACUCUAAGGAUUGCGUUA